rnacentral:rRNA from 1 species
CAGUCGCCGCGGUAACACGAAGGGGGCUAGCGUUGUUCGGAUUUACCGGGCGUAAAGGGCGCGUAGGCGGACUGAUAAGUCAGGGGUGAAAUCCCAAGGCUCAACCUUGGAACUGCCUUUGAUACUGUUUGUCUUGAGUUCGAGAGAGGUAAGUGGAACUGCGAGUGUAGAGGUGAAAUUCGUAGAUAUUCGCAAGACCACCAGUGGCGAAGGCGGCUUACUGGCUCGAAACUGACGCUGAGGCGCGAGAGCGUGGGGAGCAAACAGGAUUAGAUACCCGUGUAGUCCCUGUCUCUUAUAC